UGUGGGGUUAGGUUGGUUCAGUGGUGUGAAGUUGUGGUAGCAUCGUUCAAAGCUAAAAAAGCUAAGCACGAGAUGAAAGUUCCUCAAAACCCCCAUGUGAUUCUUCAUUCUUUUGCUUUUGCUUUGAUUCCUUUGCUUAACUGUUUUAACAGAUCUUUUUACCUGCUUUUGCCAACUUAUUUAUUUAUUUAUUUCGGUCUUUCUUCAUCUUUACUCUCUAAGAUAUAUAUAGGUGCUGAGGGUAGGGAAAGUUCCAACUCAUCCCAUGUUUUCUGAAAAGUCAAUCUAUCUUUCUUUUACUCCAUUUUCUUUUUCAGGAGCCACAGAGGACUUCUCUCUAUAUGUAAAAUCAAGUCAUAAAAUUUGGGCAUAUUUUAAUAAAUGCAUUAUAAUAUAUUUUUACUAAAAUGUUUUUCUUUUAAUUUUACAGGUAUUAUAUCUAUUUUGAUUAAAUUUUAUCAUUAUAGAUGGCUUGAGGAGUUUUUUUUUUUUUUUUUACUUUACCGAUGGUGUACAAGACAAUAAUUCAAAAUAAUAAAUAUAAAAUAAGAAAAAAAUACUAUAUAUGUAUUUGUAUUAAGAGUUGAAUUUUAUUUUAUCCUCUCUACUCAAAAAAUGGGUUAAUUAGUCAUGUAUGUUAGAUCAAAGAGCAAAUUGAUCUUUUUGUAAAAUAUUCUAUCCAUUCUUGCUACUAAUAAUUGGUCCAUAGACUAAUUUACUCUUUCAUCUAAUGUACAAGAAUUAAUUUAUCCGUUUUUUAAGUAAAGGUAGCAAAAUACAAUGUGACUUCUAAUAUAAGAGUUUUCAUGGUACUUCUAUUAUAUAAAACAUUAUAAUAUUAUGUAAAAUAUAAAGUUGAGUUGGGAUGUUUUUUUUUUUCAAGAAGUUGGAGGGCAGGUGGAUUGAAGAAAUCAUUUUGGGGUCGGAAUUGGAUGCUAUUAAUUUUGAGUUUAACUUGUUUAAUUUGGUUGACAUCCAUAUUUUUAUCAGUACGAGAAGACGUAGAUUUGAGUGCGUUGUAGUCCAUUAACCUUUUCCCUUAAAAACUUAGCUGUAAAGUAAUUGACAAAACAAUUUACUUACAAUAAAUUUGCACUAGAAUAAUUUCUUGACUUAAACAAAAUAGGUUCUCUUAAUCUCAAGAAUUCUGUUAAAUUGGUGUUUAAUGGCUUGCAAAAGUACAACUAAGGUGUUCAAAUUUCGGUUAAAAUCGAAUGAACCGACCGAAUCGAACUAAUUCGGUUGAUCUGUCAGUUAACCAAUCUAAUUCGAUCAGAGGGUGGUUAAUGGUUUCUUGGAAGUUCGAUUAUCGGUUAAUUCUGGUUGAAAUCGGAUAAUUAACCGAAUUAACCGAACUUUUAAAAAACCAAUAUUAUAUAUUACCAUUUCGGUUAAGGGUUAAGGGUUUAAAAAUUUCGGUUAAUUCAAUUAAUGCUAGUUUGGUUUGGUUAAACGAUUGAGCACUCCUAAGUGCAAUUAAUGUAGAUCUCUCUCUUUUUUUCUCUAUUCAAAAAAUAGUCUUCAAUAAAGAAAAAAGUGGAAGAGAUAUUCUCGAUAUAAACUUCUUUAAAAAUAAAAUCUCUUUAAUUAUGGAAAUUUCGAUCACAUUGAAAGUAUUGAUAAAGUCCUUACUUUGACAUGAUUCUUAUACAAUUUGCCUUCACUAAUGCACUGCCAAAAAAGCCUUCCAAGAUGCUCAAUUAAAAACCCCAAUAGUUUUGAUCAAAAGAUGUCAACCAGUAUGAUAAGUUACAGUUGUUUGCCAAAUGCACGUUAAAUUACAACUGGAGUUGCACCUGACAUUUAUAACUAGCACUAACAAAUUAAUUGAGUGUAAAUCUUUGAUUGCCUUCACUAUGUGUAUACUCAAACAUAUAUGUUGAACAUACAUCCAAUAAUAACAAAAAUAACCAACAAGCUAUUGGUUUAGUAAUAACUUGUACGUGGGUUCAUGUGUUGACAUGCAUCUAGGGUUUAAUCCCUAUGAAAUCCCUUUCGGCUAAAAAAAGGGAAAAAAAAACGUAUACUUUAACAAUUUUUAAGGUAUCUACUAAUUAUUUCAUUUAAUUUUUUAAUACCCUUCAUUUGUGUAGAAGGUUCUUUAGUGGAGAGAGGAGGUGUUGCAAGCAAGUAAAUAGAAUGCAUCAGGAGUAGCUAGAGAGGAAGACUGGAGCAAAUCUUAUAAAUUGAGCGUAGUAAUAGGUGGGGGCUUAUAAUGUGGAAAAAGGUUGCACGUGGCUUAGAAUAAGACUAAGUAUGAGAAUAGUUUAAAAGAGUUUUAGAGAUAGUUUUGGGAGUUAGAAUACUAAAAUUGUUAAAAAGUCCUUUCACAAGUUGCAAAAGGCUUCUAUUUAUAAUGUCUAAAAAUAAGAGUAUUAAAUAGGGGUAAUGACAAAUAUUGUAAGUUAUAAAGGCAUUAAUAUCCUUUUAAUAAUAAAUAGUUUAGGCUUAAUGGUGAAGGGUAAAUAAGGAAUAAGAAUUCACUAUGUUUCUGAAAGAAAAGAGAGAAUCACAUAAUGUUAUAUGAAAAAGUUAAGAAGAAACCUUUUAACUACAUCCUUAUUUGAUCCACCAAAUCGAUCUUCGGAACAUCCUAAGAAUCUUGCCUUAUUUUGAGGUUAUUUCCACUUCUUCCGUUUUUGUGAAGUAAUACCUUGUGAAACAUUUUAUCUAGAACAUCACUUGAAAUGCAAGCUAUUCUUAAUGAAGAAUUCUUCUUGAAUGAGAGUUGUUCCUGAAUAAGGGUUAUUUUUACUUAUUCCAAAAGUGAAUUGUUCUCAACAUAGCCAUCCUUAGUAGUGGUUGUUUCAAGCAAGAAUCGUUUUGCAAUGAUGCUUUUCUUUAAAGAGAUUAUUUUGAAUAAUGACUCAUCUUUAAAAAAAAAAAAGAAAAAGAAACUCACAAUUGUUCUAAAUAGAAAUUGUUUUGAAUUAUGGAUAUUCUAAACAAAAAUUGUUUUGAACAUUAGUUGUUCCCAAAUGACAACUAUACUCACAGCUAUUUAAACUAGAGCUUUAUUCUGAACAUAGUUAUUUUGAACUAGCUAUUCUUAACGACGAUUAUUUUGAACAACAAUUAUUUUAAACAAAAAAUGUUCUUUCGGAAAAAGAAUUAAGUGAAACAAUAUUUUUACUUAUUCAUAGUUAACCUUUUUAUCAUCUUUGGGAGUGCAAUUCACCUUAUUACUCUGAAAAGAGAUAAAAGAUUAGUAGUAAAACUAGUAUCUACAUUUUUUUUGUCGUAAUCAAGGUAUCUAUCGCUAAUGGCAAUGACUAAUCCUCUUGCCAUGGGUGAAAACGAUUAGUCAUAAAAUGUUUUAUUCCCUUGAGCAGAGAUCGAACCCUCAACCGUAUAAUAAAGGAUGAGAUGAGCAAUCACCACACUAUUCCUCAUAAUUAAAACUAGUAUCUACAUUUUAUCUAUCUUAUGGUUUCUUUUUGUGUUUUUUUUUCCAUCUUCAUAAGUUGCAGCAGGAUAUUUAGGGAGUGUUGUUAAACUGGUGGACAUUGUUGAGCACUUCAAAAAUACAUGUGGAUAAUACACAAUAUAAUAUGCAAUAAAAGUUAGCAAUGUCAAUUCAUAUUAGAGUGUCGGCAAAGGAAAUUUGUACGUGAAAGUGGUAAAAACAUAGAUAUUUAUGAGAGUGAAGGGGUAAAAAAAACCAUAUUAAUGGCAGUGCAUGGUGGAGCAAUGGAGCAAGAGGGUAUCUCAGUUGACUUCAACGUACGUUGCUUUCAAUGGGGGGAAAGGGGAAACUUAAUUUAUUUUUAUUUUUGCUAAAAAUUUAUUGAAGAUGGUUAAGAAAAGGACAAUACGAGGGACUUGUACAACAUUGAUAAAAUCUAAUUGUUGCAACAUUCAUAAAAAUUUGUUUUGGGUAAGUGGUGGGAGAGUCUAUCACCUAUCCAUAAGUCGGGUUAUUGGUUUGAAGGUUACUCGAAAUACAAAGGGUUUAGAUAAAAAGACGAUACUCACAAAAUGAGUUUCGGCAAAAAGUAGGCUGAUUAAAAAUAAAGACUAGACCUAAACUUUAAUAUUUAAGGCUCGAACUUAGCUCGACCCACCCAUUCUAUACUUUUGUAUUAUAUUUUUAUUUUAUGUAUAUAUUAUGUAAAUUAUAUCACAUGAAAUUAAAUAUAUAUCUAUGAUAAUACAAUACUAGGUAACAUUAUAACAAAGAUGUCUAAAUUUAAAUUUUUAAUAAAAAAACCAUAUAAAAUAUAAAAUAUUAAAUUAAAAAUAAUAUAUUUUUUAAAAAAAUAAUAUGAACGUGCCUAAAACAGAUUUGGAUUAACCAUUUAUAAAUCUAGGAAAAUUUAAACUAAAUUUUAGACACAUAUUUAGAGUCAGGUCGAACCAAGCUUAGACAAAUAUAAAAUGUGUUAAUAUUAUACAAUACUUGACUCACCCAUAAACACCUCUAACCUUUACUAAUUGAAAUUUGGGAAACUAUUGAGUUGCAUUUUAUAUAUUUCACAAGUAUGCAGGCUAGGUUUUGGGUUGGUGGCAUCCAUGGUUGAAGGUUUGGAAAUUUUAAAAUAUCAAGUUUGAGUCUUAAUUUAUAUAAAUCAUAUUUAGAUUUUUAGUUUAGAUUUGUUUUGAAUCUGAUAUAAACGCAUAUAUUUAACUAAUUUUUGUUUCGAAUAUAUUUUUGUUAUCAGUUCAUUUAUACAUUGUAAUGAUUGAUUUUGAUCGUAAUGAUAUAAACGUAUAUAUUGUAAAUAUAAGUAUAACUUUUAAGAUUAUAUAUAUUUAACUAAUUUUCUUCUAUGUAAAAUGCACAAAUUAAUUAUAUGUAUUAUUUUUAUUGCAUUACAUUAUUUAUUUACAAAGUUUUGAUAUUUCUUAGUAUUAAGUAUUUUUUUAAUUAAUGUCUACCACAUUGCAUAUUGAGAAGUUAUCAUAUGUCAAUAUAAACUAACGAUGUUAAUACGAAGAUACCAACUAGAAUAUAUACGCAUAUAUACAAAUAUGUAUUGUAAUGAUUAAUUCUGAUCGUAAUGAUAUAUAUGCCUAUAUUGUAAAUAUAAUUUAGACGUGAAGUAUAGAUGGAUAUUUAAGAGAGUAAAGGGAGAAAAAUCCCAUAUUAAUGGCAGUGCAUGGUGAAGCAAUGGAGCAAGAUAGUAUCUCAGUUGACUUGAACAUGCAUUGCUUUCAAUGAGGGAAAAGAGGGAAACUUAAUUUCUUUUUCUGCUACAAAUUUAUUGGAGAAAGAUGGUUAAUAAAAGGGACAAUAAGAGGGACUAGGACCAGAUUGAUAAAAUAUAGUUGUUGCAACAUUCAUAAUAAUUUCUUUUUGGGGAGACACCGUGGUUGAUUGAAAUAUGGGAAAUUAUUUUGUAAUAGUGUUGAAGUUUUUUAAAUUUCACAUGUAUGUCAAUGAGGUUUUAGCUAGAUGGCAUGGUCGAGGUUUUGAUAAUUUAAAAUUCUCAAGUUUGAAUCUCACGUUGUAUAAAUUAUGUGUAAAAUUUCAGUUUAGAUUUGUUUUUUACAUUUGAAUAUGUAAAAUUAAAUUAUUUGUAAGCACCAACUCCCUCAUAGACAAUCAUGGGGCUUUAGAUGGGCCUAAAAGUCUCAAAGUCAGCAGGCUCCAUACGCGUCAACUUAGUGGACCCACAUCACUCAAGAACUUGGCCCAUGCAUAUGAUUCAAAAUAAUAGUAUUGUUGUUGGGUCCAAAACCAAAUAAAGCUAAAACUAUGUUGCCUAAAUUAAAUAACUCCUACAAAAUCAUAGAUCAAUAUAGAAAAGAUGUAGAAUAUGCUUCGCAUUUUGGUUAAAUUAAAACACAAAUAGAGAGUGACGUCGUGAUAAGGAGUUUUGGAUGUCGCGACGACACCAUAGGGGACAUUGCAAUUUUCUUGAUUUUCUUCUUCCAGUCAAAUUCUGAUUAUUUGUUCUAGUCGAACUCUAAUUAGUGUAGAUUAUUUUAAGAUUAUUUGACUUACGAAUUUAGCCUAUAAAUAGGCCCUUUUUUCUACCCUAGAAAGAUUAACCCAUAACACAUUUAAGUAUUAGCUUUUACAAGCUUUCUGAGAAUUUUAUAUUUAAGUUUUGAGAGUUCUUAUUUUCAGGUUUCGGGAUUUAGCUUUUAUCUCCAUCUUUAUACUCUUCGUUUUUGCCGAUUUAGUGAAUUAUCUUUGCCUGUGGUUUUUACCCUCUUCGGAGGGGUUUUUUCACGUAAAAUUUGUGUAUUCGAUCUUUUCAAUUUUUUCGUUAUUUUUCUUGUUCAUUGCUUAUACAAGUUUAUCCCCAACAGAAGAGGUCAUUGUCAUCAUUUAAAGCAGAAUCACAUCUUAACCUAACUUAAACUUGAUAAACACAAACUCAAAAAUAGAAAUUUGAUUUCAUAAAUUUGAUAUUCCAAGCUUGAUACUAAAUAAUCAAUACCUACAAAAUACUUAAAAACAAAAAAAAAAAAAGAUAAUCAAUCUCCGCUUCAUCUCACAAGACACAAAGUUUUCAAAGCAAAAUCAAAGAUUCGUUACAAGAUCUAGCCAAAACAUCAAGUAAUGAUCCGAUCAAAAUUCCAUCAAAGAAAUAUUAUUUACAAUUUCAUUAUAUUACUCAAAGAAAUGCUCUCACCACUCCCAUUCAAGGACAGCCAAAAUGUCUCUAAACAUUAACUCAAAACAAGAUCCAAAGAAGAAAGUUGAAGAAUAAAAGAGAAGUUGUGACUAACCCUCUUAAAUCGCUUUAAGCCAAUCAAUUAUUACAUUUAGCUUUAACUACCCAAGUUAUCCAACACAUUUAUUUUGAUAGGAAUAAUACUCAUAAGGACUUUAAAAUAAAGUUGUAAUCAUUAAUUUCAAUUACUUUAUUUUCAUCAUGUGGUAGACAUUAUAACCAUGCCAUUGCCAACAACAUCCACAUGGUACCAUGGUCACAUCUCCCCAUUGCCCACCCAUACAUUCAUGGUUCCAUUUUAACUACCCUUUCCAUGACAUCUAUACAACUAUAUAUUAAAGGCACUAAAGCUUUUCAAUUCUAAUUUUUUUUUUUUUUACUUUUUAGAUUAUAAGAAUGGGUAAUUUCCAAUAUGAUCCCUAUAUUUUAUUUAAAUUUAAGAUUUAAUCUAUAUACUUUAAUUUUGACAUAAUUUAAUAUCUCAAUUUUUAUAAUGCCAUUAGUUAGCCUAAAUAUUUUAUUCUAAUUAAAAUGAUUAAUAUAUGAAUUUUUAAGAAUUGUUAGCACUCUUAAAUUUUUUUAUUGAAUUUAUGUCUGUUACAAUGUUUUUUUUUGUUACAUGCAUACCAAGUUUAUUUUAUUUUUUCAAAAUGCCUAACCAACACAAAAGAAUUUUAACAGUAUUAACAAAUGGACCUAAAUUUUUAAAUUCGAAAAGCAGAGAAACUAAAUUCCUGAAAAUAAAAAUAUAAAGAUUAAAUUCUAAAUAUAUGAAUAAUAAAAAAAUUUGAACAGAUUGUAACCUUUAAAGUUUUACGCUAUAAUUUAAUUAAAAAAUAAAUAACUUAAUUGUACCCUUUGGACAAUAAUUUGAGCAUACCUUCAAAAUUGCUCAAGAUUAAAUGUUGACAUUUUGACUUGAUCUCCAUAAUUGUUUUCUUAUAAGCAAAUAAAUGGUGGUCGAAUUUGGAUGAUUGAAGGAACUAUGAGAUCAUCAUGCCCUUAUCCAUUAAGGCUUACCCUCAUCCUUAUUCUUUAAACAUUAUCUUAUGAAUUAUGCUGAUGAAUUUUCUUAUAUAAGAUUGUAUUUUGAGAUGAAUUUUGGAGGUUUUUAUCUCAAAUUAUUAUGCAUUAAAUUGGUGAUUUUAUCUCCACAAAAUCUGCUAAGAGGAGACUUUUUUACUAGUUUAUAAAUAGACUGCUACUUCCUCGUUGAGUUAUUUGGGUGUAUUUAGACACUCCUUGUUCUUUUGUACUAGCAUAUAAAUACAGUGUUGAUCAGCUUCCUCAUUUAAUACUGUAUGUAAUGUGAGUUAUUUGGAGAGAUUAAUUUGUUUGCAGCUACAAUUAUUAUUGCGAGAGGUUAGAUUGGGCUUUUGCUAAUAGUUAUAUCGGAUUAACUGUUGAAUAAAAUUAUUCUUUGAAUGAAGCUUGCAAAUAGGAUUUGUGAAUCCAUAUUGAUUCUUUAUUUACUUAUCUUUUGUCUCAUGUUUUGAAUUUGUGUUUAUUUCUCUCUUUAUUUUACUUCUUUUUUUAAUGUGUUUAAAAGGUUUUCUUCGAACUUCUAUUCAAUCAUCUAUUUGAAUAUUAAAUUAAAUGUUGAAUGAUAAAAAAACCCGAAAAAACAAUUUAAAAAAAAAAAAGAAUGAUGAGAGAAGGAAGUAGGCAGCCACCAACACAAAAUCCCAUACAAAAAGAAACAAUAGAAGUCCCUCCAAUACAAAUGAAAAAUAUAAAAGCUCCCCUCAAAAAAAAUCUCCCAAAGAAUACAAAUAUAUAUAAAUAAAUGUAAGCUCAAAUAUGCAUAGUAAAAAGCCCCAUCAAAGAGACUUAAGCCAGUAACAAUAUAUAAUGGAAAUUAAAACACUGAAAACAAAAACCAUAGCUAAGACACAAGUGGUGAAGAAAAGACUUCUUGGUUUAAAGCAUUAAACUGAGGAUACCCCAUCCAAUCACCAAGCUCCACACCAUCUUUCUUAUGGACCAUGUUUUCUGUACUCCACUCUGCAAUAAUCAAAUAACAUCUUGUAUUCAUAUUUUUUCCCACUAUUAUUAUAAUUGGAUAUGCAAAAAAAAAAUAGCUUCAUCCAUUGAAAGCUAAACAUGUUUUUGGAUAAAAAUAUAUUAAAUUUGAAAAAAUGAAUUUAGACUAUAAUAUUAAAAAAUAUUUAAAAAAUAAAUUGGGUUUUAGUUAAAUAUUUGAAGUAUAGACAUAGAUAGAAUUAAUUAAUUAUAAAUAUAGAUAAAUUUCAACAAAAUUUAUAGAUGCCAUUAAUAUGAUAUGUGUGUGUUGAUCCAACCUGAGGUCUAAUUAAAGCUUUCCAUGUCAGAGUUUACGUUAGAAUUUAGAACACCCUCUAUAUUUUUGCUAUAUUAGACAUACUUAAAUUUUAAACCCCAUAAGAGAAUAUGCAUAUACAUAUACAUAUAGAUAUACAUACCGUAUCGGUUCCAGCAGGGCCUGGUGAAGAAGCGCCGAGGCUGGGAGUAGGGGCCUCAUUUGAUGGAGACGGUGGGCUGGAGGCCGAAGGUGAUAGUGCUGGAGACUUAGCUUUGGUCUUGCUAGGGGCCGGAGCUGGAACCGUGGCAGGAGGAGAAGCCAAAGGAGCUGGUGGUGGGGUAGCUGGAGGAGGAGUAGCAGGAGGGGGAGAAGCAGGUGGUGGGGUAGCCGGAGGUGGAGAAGCCGGUGGGGGAGUUGCGGGAGGUGGAGUAGCCGGGGGAGGAGAAGCUGGUGGUGGGGAGCUAACGGGCGGGGGAGUCGCUGGAGGAGGAGUGGAAACUGGUGGUGGUGAUGAAGUAGGAGGAGGAGAGGAAGCUGGUGGCGGAGAAGUAGUUGUGGGUGUUGGAGGUGGUUGAGUAGUAGGUGGAGGUGUGGAAGCGGGUGGAGUCGGCGGCGCCGGCGUGGAUGUCGGAGGAUUACUAGGAGUAGGAGGAGCUUGGCCUAAAACGCCAGCUACAGCAAUGCAAAACAAAGCUGAUAAGAACAAAAACUUAUUAUUAAGCAUCAUAUUGGAAACAAUGGUGACCCUUUAAUCCUGCACACCCUCUCCGCUUAAACUACGCCCAGCCGUGCAAGCAAAUGAG
rnacentral:lncRNA from 1 species